GAUGAACGCUGGCGGCGUGCCUAAUACAUGCAAGUCGAGCGAACAGACGAGGAGCUUGCUCCUCUGACGUUAGCGGCGGACGGGUGAGUAACACGUGGAUAACCUACCUAUAAGACUGGGAUAACUUCGGGAAACCGGAGCUAAUACCGGAUAAUAUAUUGAACCGCAUGGUUCAAUAGUGAAAGACGGUUUUGCUGUCACUUAUAGAUGGAUCCGCGCCGCAUUAGCUAGUUGGUAAGGUAACAGCUUACCAAGGCAACGAUGCGUAGCCGACCUGAGAGAGUGAUCGGCCACACUAGAACUGAGACACGGUCCAGACUCCUACGGGAGGCAGCAGUAGGGAAUCUUCCGCAAUGGGCGAAAGCCUGACGGAGCAACGCCGCGUGAGUGAUGAAGGUCUUCGGAGCGUAAAACUCUGUUAUUAGGGAAGAACAAAUGUGUAAGUAACUAUGCACGUCUUGACGGUACCUAAUCAGAAAGCCACGGCUAACUACGUG
rnacentral:rRNA from 1 species